rnacentral:rRNA from 1 species
GCGUUGUUCGGAAUUACUGGGCGUAAAGGGCGCGUAGGCGGCCUUCUAAGUCGCACGUGAAAUCCCUGGGCUCAACCCAGGAGCUGCGUCCGAUACUGGAAGGCUUGAAUCCGGGAGAGGGAUGCGGAAUUCCAGGUGUAGCGGUGAAAUGCGUAGAUAUCAGGAGGAACACCUGUGGUGUAGACGGCUUACUGGACCAUGACUGACGCUGAGGCACGAAAGCGUGGGGAGCAAACAGG